CCUCUGUUCGAGGAGUUGACCGCGGACAUCGAUCCCUCUCUGUUGGAGGAGUUAACCGCAGAUGCCCAUCCCCCUCUGUUGGAGGAGUUGACCGCGGACAUCGAUCCCUCUCUGUUGGAGGAACUGACCGCGGACGUCUAUCCCCCUCUGUUGGAUAAGUUGACCAUGGAUGUCCAUCAGUCUCCAUCGCGGGAGCUGACCACAGAUGUCCAGCAGUUUCCGUUGCAGGGUUUGACUGCGGGUGUCCAUCCCUCUUUGUCGCAGAGAGUGGUCAUCGCGCAGGUCCACCGCGCUUUUUCGGUAAGGAGAGCCUUUCAUACCCUCAAUGUCCUGAGAAGUGACCACGACCUUUGGCCAGGCCCUGACCCUUCCUCCCGAGGGUGGCCAAACAUCCUCCUUUCCCAGGGCAUGUCCUACAUUUCGACUUGAAUUCCAAAAUGUCCUCCAUUACAAACAAAAAGGGGUGGCGGUGAAGGUGGUUUGACUUCCAUUUUGUAACAUCCUACGUUUUUCCCCACGAACGUACCGCGUUUGCUGAUCCAGGGCGGCUUGACUGUCAUUCUCAGAAUACUGGGAGUCACAGUCCAGUGAUAUCUGGUCCACGCACGUUCCAGUGUCGUAACGUCGCCCGGUUUCCACUCUGUAUUCGCUUGCGCCUUCAGGCGCCAUUUGCACAUCGGCGCAGAAGGGUCCAUACUCAUUCCUCCUUUUUUCCUUUGAAAGGAUUCCUCCGAACCAGAGGAGGCCAAAGACGAUGAGGAGGAGGACAACAAAGGGUGUUGGAGCGUUGUCCAGAAAGAACAAUUGGCGAAGGACAUUGCCGAGGAGAAGCCUGCCAUCCUAUGGGACCUAGACGACGAUAUCUGGCGGGUGGAGGACGAAUGUCGCCCGCACUCGGCUUCGCGCAGAUCUCUGAAGCUAGUAAGCGCUGAGAAGGAAGGCACACUUCAGAGAAAUGGCGCUAAUAAGAUUCACUCUUUAAGGG